AAUGAGAAGCGAAAUGAAAUAUUUGUUUACAUUUAUUUUAUAAUUUGAAUAAUUGAUUUUUUGAUUUUUUUUUUGCAAUUAAAUAAAAUACAUUGACUAAUAUUAUCAAUAUGAUAUGUUUAAAUUAUAUUUUUUUUGUUCUUUUUUCGCUAUUAUCUACUACAUUAAAACAAUACCAAAUUUAAAUAAUAAAUAUAAAUUUAUUAAAAUAAAACAAAAUUCAAU
rnacentral:lncRNA from 1 species